rnacentral:rRNA from 1 species
UACGGAGGAUGCAAGCGUUAUCCGGAAUGAUUGGGCGUAAAGCGUCCGCAGGUGGCGGUGUAAGUCUGCUGUUAAAGAGUGAGGCUCAACCUCGAGACGCCGAUGGAAACCAUCGGGCUAGAGUGCGGAAGAGGCGAGUGGAAUUCCUGGUGUAGCGGUGAAAUGCGCAGAUAUCAGGAGGAACACCUAUUGCGAAGGCAGCUCGCUGGGACGUAACUGACGCUGAGACGCGAAAGCGUGGGGAGCAAACAGG